UACAGAGGUCUCAAGCGUUGUUCGGAUUCAUUGGGCGUAAAGGGUGCGUAGGUGGUGCUGUAAGUCAGGUGUGAAAUCUCGGGGCUCAACCCCGAAACUGCACUCGAUACUGCCGUGCUUGAGGACUGGAGAGGAGACUGGAAUUUACGGUGUAGCGGUGAAAUGCGUAGAUAUCGUAAGGAAGACCAGUGGCGAAGGCGGGUCUCUGGACAGUUCCUGACGCUGAGGCACGAAGGCCAGGGGAGCAAACGGG
rnacentral:rRNA from 1 species